CGAAAGCCUGACGGAGCAACGCCGCGUGGGGGAAGAAGGUUCUUGGAUUGUAAACCCCUUUUCUCAGGGAAGAAGUUCUGACGGUACCUGAGGAAUCAGCCUCGGCUAACUCCGUGCCAGCAGCCGCGGUAAUACGGAGGAGGCAAGCGUUAUUCGGAAUUAUUGGGCGUAAAGCGUCCGCAGGGGGCUCAUCAAGUCUGCUGUCAAAGGUCGGAGCUCAACUCCGGUUCGGCAGUGGAAACUGGUGGGCUAGAGGGCGACAGGGGUAGAGGGAAUUCCCAGUGUAGCGGUGAAAUGCGUAGAUAUUGGGAAGAACACCGGUGGCGAAAGCGCUUUGCUGGACCGAACCUGACGCUGAGGGACGAAAGCUAGGGGAGCG
rnacentral:rRNA from 1 species